GUGCUUGCUUCGGCAGCACAUAUACUAAAAUUGGAAUGAUACAGAGAAGAUUAGCAUGGCCACUGUGCAAGGAUGACACACAAACAGCUGUAUACAGCACAUAGCUUU